rnacentral:rRNA from 1 species
UGGUGGAGCGAUUUGUCUGGUUAAUUCCGAUAACGAACGAGACUCUAGCCUAUUAAAUAGACUACCUUUCCAAUGUGAAGGUAGGACUUCUUAGAGGGACAGGCGGCAACUCAGCCGCACGAAACAGAGCAAUAACA